rnacentral:misc_RNA from 1 species
ACGAGCAGUUCGUCUUCUUUUAACCCAGGUGAGAGGUGGCCGAAAGCAGUUGUUCUUGGAUAAAGUUCAAAACGCAUGGCUUCGAAAAGGGGAUGUAAAGAAUGGUUUCAGGAACGAACAAACUUCGAGAAAACUCUUCUAUCGUUAUCCAGUGUAUUGUUACUCACCUUAUGUUUAGUCAUACUUUUUGGGAUUGCUUAUAAAGGUUCGAAAAUGGAAUGCUUUUCUGAGAAAGAAGACGUGGUGUGUAGAAGUAGAAACUGCAUUAUAACUGCUGGACAGAUACUUUCGAAAAUGAAUUACGAUGUAGACCCUUGCUCCAACUUCUACAAAUUUGCUUGUGGUAGAUAUGGAAGCGAAACAGGACAGGUAGAUUCUGUAGCUCAGAGUUCUGUCGAUUACGUUUACUUUGCGCUUAAAAGACUCAUGGAAUCACCAGCUGUUACCGACGUAGAAGAUUUCGAUGCGGUAAAAUCGCUGUAUGACGUUUGCGUAAACUACAGUGGUCUCAAAAAUGAGUUUUCAUAUUCUAUAGAAACAGUUCACUCUUUAUUGUUACAAUUUGGCAUCGACACUUGGCCAGUGAUAGAUAUUUUUUAUGACGAAGAUACAAAUUUGUCAGUGGAGGAGAGAUUGGUUGGUCUUAAUUUAGUAGGAAUUCCUGUUGUAUUUCAGUUGGAAGUUAUUACAGAAGACAACGUUCCAGACUCACACAUUUUAAAGCUCUCUCCGGGCGGUCCUCAAGACACAAGCCGUUCACCGGAGGACAUACGUUCUGACCAAAGAUUGAGAUCUCGAAUGAUUUCUUUUUUCCUCUUCAUCGGGGCUUCAGAAUCAAGAGCACGAAAAGCUGCUUCUGAUAUCUUAGCCACUGAAAGUCACUUUGCUGAUAUUUAUUGGGAAAAAGAUCAAAAGAGGUGCACCGGGUCGCAUAUUUUAUCUUCUGAAGAAUCUGUAAGUGAAUUAAAUAGAUUCAUACCUGAAUUGAACUGGACAAAAGUAAUGAAUGUCUUCUGGAAGGCUACGGGUAUAGCAAGACCAUACACGAUGAAAUUGUACUGCAAGGAAAAAAUUCGGGAUUACAUGACACGUCUCCUCCAAAACCGAAACAGGUCGUGUUACAACUACCUUGGCUGGCGGUUUAUAGCUCAGUUCUCCAGACAUAUUGAACCAUCAUUCCGCUUCAGACUGGACCCCGCCAUUCCUAGAUGGAAAGAAUGCAUUUCUUUAUUGGAACAGUUUGCAUCACCUUUUCUAGCAGAAGCACUGAAAAAAACAGAAAUCAAACAAGAAAUUCAGGAUACGGUUGAAAAGGUGUCUUCAUCAAUUUUUUCGAGCAUAGAUCGCUUGUUGUCCAAGACGAAGUGGAUGAGUUCCAAGAUAAAGAAUCAGUUUCUUCAAAAGGUAAACAUGAUGGAUUUAAGAUUCCCAUUUAGGAAGGAGGAAAACAUCAGCAGAACAUUACUCUUUAAAACUUCCGAAAUAGAACCUGAAAAUUAUUCUGGAAUCGUCAUUAAUCUUUACAGACAGGUGAUCAUCGAAAAGUUGAAAAAACUCACGCCGACAAAGGAUACAGUUGAAAUAAUUGAACCUGGGGAAUUUCAGCUAACAUCAGAAAUAUCAGUUUCAGGAAAUAGAUCCGUAGUAUUUGCCUUCUUUGACAAAAUUCGGGAGCCUUAUAUUAGAAUUUAUGGACCGGAGGCGCUUAGUUACGGAGGCUUUGGCACAUUUAUUGCAAAGACAAUUUCAAGAAUACUAAUCAGAGAAGAGUUUGAAAAGUAGAACAGAAGAUGAAAAGAAAGCACUCCCAGGACUGGAUAUGAGUGAGGAACAGAUGUUUUUCCUCGCCUACGCUCAGACUAUGUGUGGAGAAGAAAGUCAGUUAAAUAAGAAUCUGUACGUUCCAACAGAAGACAGGU